AUUGAACGCUGGCGGCAUGCCUUACACAUGCAAGUCGAACGGCAGCACGGGAGCAAUCCUGGUGGCGAGUGGCGAACGGGUGAGUAAAGUAUCGGAACGUGCCCAGUCGUGGGGGAUAACGUAGCGAAAGUUACGCUAAUACCGCAUACGAUCUAUGGAUGAAAGCGGGGGAUCGCAAGCCCUCGCGCGAUUGGAGCGGCCGAUAUCAGAUUAGGUAGUUGGUGGGGUAAAGGACCACCAAGACGACGAUCUGGAGCUGGUCUGAGAGGACGGACGGCCAGACGGGGGCUGAGACAAGGGCCAGACUCCUACGGGAGGCCGCAGUGGGGAAUUUUGGACAAUGGGCUAAAGCCUGAUCCAGCCAUGCCGCGUGCAGGAUGAAGGCCUGCGGGUUGUAAACUGCUUUUGUACGGAACGAAAAGGUUUGGCCUAAUAAGCUGAGCUCAUGACGGUACCGUAAGAAUAAGCACCGGCUAACUACGUGCCAGCAGCCGCCGCGG
rnacentral:rRNA from 1 species